AUUGAACGCUGGCGGCAGGCCUAACACAUGCAAGUCGAGCGAGCGGCGGACGGGUGAGUAAUGUAUGGGGAUCUGCCCGAUGGAGGGGGAUAACUACUGGAAACGGUAGCUAAUACCGCAUACCAUCAGAUGAACCCAUAUGGGAUUAGCUUGUAGGUGUGGUAACGGCUCACCUAGGCGACGAUCCCUAGCUGGUCUGAGAGGAUGAUGAGCCACACUGGGACUGAGACACGGCCCAGACUCCUACGGGAGGCAGCAGUGGGGAAUAUUGCACAAUGGGCGCAAGCCGGAUGCAGCCAUGCAGCGUGUAUGAAGAAGGCCGUAGGGUUGUAAAGUACUUUCAGCGGGGAGGCGUUACCUGCAGAAGAAGCACCGGCUAACUCCGUGCCAGCAGCCGCGGUAAUUC
rnacentral:rRNA from 1 species